CAGUAGCCGCGGUAAUACGGAGGGUGCAAGCGUUAAUCGGAAUUACUGGGCGUAAAGCGCACGCAGGCGGUCUGACAAGUCAGAUGUGAAAUCCCCGGGCUUAACCUGGGAACUGCAUUUGAAACUGUCAGGCUGGAGUCUUGUAGAGGGGGGUAGAAUUCCAGGUGUAGCGGUGAAAUGCGUAGAGAUCUGGAGGAAUACCGGUGGCGAAGGCGGCCCCCUGGACAAAGACUGACGCUCAGGUGCGAAAGCGUGGGGAGCAAACAGGAUUAGAUACCCGAGUAGUCCCUGUCUCUUAUAC
rnacentral:rRNA from 1 species